UAUUAGAAAGAAUACCAAUUGCGAAGGCAGCUUUCAGGAUCAUUACUGACACUGAGGAACGAAAGCAUGGGUAGCGAAGAGGAUUAGAUACCCUCGUAGUCCAUGCCGUAAACGAUGUGUGUUAGACGUUGGAAAUUUAUUUUCAGUGUCGCGGCGAAAGCGAUAAACACACCGCCUGGGGAGUACGACCGCAAGGUUAAAACUCAAAUGAAUUGACGGGGACCCGCACAAGUAGUGGAGCAUGUGGUUUAAUUCGAAGAUACGCGCAGAACUUUACCAACACUUGACAUGUUCGUCGCGACUUUAAGAGAUUAAAGUUUUCGGUUCGGCCGGACGAAACACAGGUGCUGCAUGGCUGUCGUCAGCUCGUGUCGUGAGAUGUUGGGUUAAGUCCCGCAACGAGCGCAACCCUCACUUUUAGUUGCCAUCAUUUAGUUGGGCACUCUGAAAGAACUGCCAGUGAUAAGCUGGAGGAAGGUGGGGAUGACGUCAAGUCCUCAUGGCCCUUACGUGUUGGGCUACACACGUGCUACAAUGGUAUCUACAACAGGAAGCAAAACUGCGAAGUUAAGCAAAUCCUUAAAAGAUACCUCAGUUCGGAUUGCACUCUGCAACUCGAGUGCAUGAAGCUGGAAUUACUAGUAAUCGUGGAUCAGCGUGCCACGGUGAAUGCGUUCCCGGGCCUUGUACACACCGCCCA
rnacentral:rRNA from 1 species